rnacentral:rRNA from 1 species
UACGUAGGGGGCUAGCGUUGUCCGGAAUCAUUGGGCGUAAAGAGCGUGUAGGCGGCCUGGUAAGUCCGCUGUAAAAGUCAAAGGCUCAACCUUUGAAUGUCAGUGGAUACUGCCGGGCUAGAGUCCGGAAGAGGCGAGUGGAACUUCUGGUGUAGCGGUGGAAUGCGCAGAUAUCAGGAAGAACACCAACGGCGAAGGCAGCUCGCUAGGACGGUACUGACGCUGAGACGCGAAAGCGUGGGGAGCGAACAGG